rnacentral:rRNA from 1 species
UACGUAGGGUGCAAGCGUUGUCCGGAAUUAUUGGGCGUAAAGAGCUCGUAGGCGGUUUGUUGCGUCGGCUGUGAAAAUCCCGAGGCUCAACCUCGGGUCUGCAGUCGAUACGAGCAAACUAGAGUGUUGCAGGGGGAGACUGGAAUUCCUGGUGUAGCGGUGAAAUGCGCAGAUAUCAGGAGGAACACCGGUGGCGAAGGCGGGUCUCUGGGCAACAACUGACGCUGAGGAGCGAAAGCGUGGGGAGCGAACAGG